rnacentral:misc_RNA from 1 species
AAAGUCGUAACAAGGUCUCCGUUGGUGAACCAGCGGAGGGAUCAUUAUCGAGUUUACAACUCCCAAACCCCAAUGUGAACAUACCAAUCGUUGCUUCGGCGGGUACGCCCCCGCGCCUCGGCGCCGGGACCAGGCGCCCGCCGGAGACCCCAAACUCUUGUGUUUAUGCAGUAUUCUCUGAGUGAAAACGCAAAAAUAAAUCAAAACUUUCAACAACGGAUCUCUUGGCUCUG